rnacentral:rRNA from 1 species
UACGUAGGUGGCAAGCGUUAUCCGGAAUUAUUGGGCGUAAAGAGCGCGCAGGUGGUUAAUUAAGUCUGAUGUGAAAGCCCACGGCUUAACCGUGGAGGGUCAUUGGAAACUGGUUGACUUGAGUGCAGAAGAGGGAGGUGGAAUUCCAUGUGUAGCGGUGAAAUGCGUAGAGAUAUGGAGGAACACCAGUGGCGAAGGCGGCUUCCUGGUCUGCAACUGACACUGAGGCGCGAAAGCGUGGGGAGCAAACAGG